CUAGAUUACAGGGCUUAUUGGAU
rnacentral:siRNA from 1 species